AUUGAACGCUGGCGGCAGGCCUAACACACGCAAGUCGAGCGAGCGGCGGACGGGUGAGUAAUGUCUGGGGACUGCCCGAUAGAGGGGGAUAACUACUGGAAACGGUAGCUAAUACCGCAUACUAUCGGAUAACCCAUAUGGGAUUAGCUAGUUGGUGCGGUAAUGGCUCACCAAGGCGACGAUCCCUAGCUGGGCUGAGAUGAUGAUCAGCCACACUGGAACUGAGACACGGUCCAGACUCCUACGGAGGCAGCAGUGGGGAAUAUUGCACAAUGGGCGCAAGCCUGAUGCAGCCAUGCCGCGUGUAUGAAGAAGGCCCUAGGGUUGUAAAGUACUUUCAGUCGGGAGGCGUUACCGACAGAAGAAGCACCGGCUAACUCCGUGCCAGCAGCCGCGGUAAUUC
rnacentral:rRNA from 1 species